AUCAGUGGUAGCUAACUGUCUGCUGACCAAAUCAGGUGCUUGGUCACCUGUGCCUGCCCUUUCCCCAGCAUCCCACCUGUGCUGCGUUGCACUGAGCAGCCAGUGCCUGGCGGUGGGGAGUGGGGCAGCCCCAUGUUUGAUAUGCCUGCUGCGGUUGUAGAUUGAGCCCUUUGUUCUCUGGCAUCUCUCCAUUUGAAAAAUCGUAGGAUCACCAUCAUCAUUUGUUCCAUGGCAACAUCUUUGUUAAGGAGAGGAGAAGCCGUCAUGCUGGCAAUAGAAAGGUACAGAGCCCUCCUUCCUGCCUUUCAAGAGUGAUCCCUUGAAAACUUUUUGGGAAGCCCCUGUUCUGACACUCUCCAAGUCAUGGAAUUCAACAGGUGGGAGGAGGAAGCACAAUUGCAGUUCAUUUAACCCUCUCAUUUUAAAGCCUGUUCAGGACUGCCUUGAUGACACAUCAGAAGGGGGGCUUUCGAAGCAGUGCUGAAGUGGGAUGAGUUUAUUUCAUUCCUAUCAUUAAAGAAGAUGGAAGACUUAUUAUCUGCAACCUUAAUGGCAAUAAGUUAGACAAGCACAAGAUGAAAGAAAAAAUCUUCCCUAGCUUCUAUUAAGAAAAAAAGUCAACAUGUAGUUUUCUGCAGGCAACUGCAGAGAAAUACAUUAGACACCCUGUAUAUUUAUUUCCUGCAAAAAAUCUAGUCAUGGAUUCCAAGGGAAAAUAAAUCUUUUUUUUUGUUUGUUUGUUUGAACAGUAAAAUUAUUUUUGCUUUUUAUUCUUCUUUUUAAUUACUGAUUCUAAGUAUGAAAGAAAGGAAUAUACACCAUUUAGCUAUCACACCUCUGAUGAACAAAACAGAGAUGUCACAAGAGAUCUUCACAGUUUGUAUCAUUUUACAGGCAAAGCUCUUUCUCCUUUACCAGUUUCAUUCAUGGUUUCCAGAAACUGUUUCUGUAAUACUUUUCUCAUUGUGAAAUGAUUGCAUGUUACAGUAAAUAGUCCUGUCAAUUUGUUCUGUGUAAUCUAAACAUGCUGCGUGGAAAGAGGAGAGACGCUGGUUUUCCUAGAGACCUUUGUCGUGGAGUAGUGUAGUACGAGCGAAGUCCUGGGUGAGUAGGAAUGAUUUAGGAAUUUGUUCAUGUAAUGCAGGUUUUGGAUUACUGACACUUUCUGCCUCUGUUUAUAGUGCAUAGGCCAGCAAUCCCUUUUAAAGGCAGGGAAUAUGCAAGAGAAGCUUCUGGAAAGGACCACAACCUCCAUCAAAGUAAAAACAUCAGUCAUCUUGAUCUAGUCACUAAUCACCAUAUAUAUUAAAUCUCGUAUUUCACAGAGCAUUUCUAACCACUCAUAUCUUGGUAGCAGUAACUUACAAAAUGUACACAGUGGAUGAAUAUAUCAAAAUGACAAGAUUCAUUCUAGCCAGUAUGUGGGAGUAGUGGAUGUGACG